rnacentral:rRNA from 1 species
CUAGCCGUAAACGAUGGGUACUAGGUGUAGGAGGUUUCGAUACCUUCUGUGCCGCAGUUAACGCAAUAAGUACCCCGCCUGGGGAGUACGUGCGCAAGCAUGAAACUCAAAGGAAUUGACGGGGGCCCGCACAAGCGGUGGAGCAUGUGGUUUAAUUCGAAGCAACGCGAAGAACCUUACCAGGUCUUGACAUCCCUUGACCACCUCAGAGAUGAGGUUUCUCUUCGGAGCAAGGAGACAGGUGG